rnacentral:rRNA from 1 species
GGGAUUGGCAUGGGCGCAGCCUGAUCCAGCCAUGCCGCGUGUGUGAAGAAGGCCUUAGGGUUGUAAAGCUCUUUCAGUAGGGAGGAAAGGCUAAUGUUUAAUACGNCAAUAGYUAUGACGGUACCUUCAGAAGAAGCACCGGC